rnacentral:misc_RNA from 1 species
GUGGAAUUUCAUAAUUCGCUAAACCAAAAGUAACUAGACAUCAAAUGAACUAUAUAUACAAGGUAAUGUCAGUUAGCAUACAUUAAUGGCUAUUAGGAGAAAGGGGGAACCAAGAUUACUACAGAAUGCCCAGAUUUCAUAGCAUGACGGUCUAACUUCUGAAUGAGUAAAUCCUACCAUUUGGUGAUGGGUAUAGGGAGGGCUUUCCACUUGACAACUCUCUAGCCUCAACCUUAGGGGGCGAGGUUAAACCCAAUUGGGG